GUAACAUUUCUAGCUUGCUAGAAGAUGACGAGCGGCGGACGGGUGAGUAAUACUUAGGAAUCUACCUAGUAGUGGGGGAUAGCUCGGGGAAACUCGAAUUAAUACCGCAUACGACCUACGGGAGAAAGGGGGCAACUUGUUGCUCUCGCUAUUAGAUGAGCCUAAGUCGGAUUAGCUAGAUGGUGGGGUAAAGGCCUACCAUGGCGACGAUCUGUAGCUGGUCUGAGAGGAUGAUCAGCCACACCGGGACUGAGACACGGCCCGGACUCCUACGGGAGGCAGCAGUGGGGAAUAUUGGACAAUGGGGGAAACCCUGAUCCAGCCAUGCCGCGUGUGUGAAGAAGGCCUUUUGGUUGUAAAGCACUUUAAGCAGUGAAGAAGACUCUUCGGUUAAUACCCGGAGACGAUGACAUUAGCUGCAGAAUAAGCACCGGCUAACUCUGUGCCAGCAGCCGCGGUAAUACAGAGGGUGCAAGCGUUAAUCGGAAUUACUGGGCGUAAAGCGAGCGUAGGUGGCUUGAUAAGUCAGAUGUGAAAUCCCCGGGCUUAACCUGGGAACUGCAUCUGAUACUGUCAGGCUAGAGUAGGUGAGAGGAAGGUAGAAUUCCAGGUGUAGCGGUGAAAUGCGUAGAGAUCUGGAGGAAUACCGAUGGCGAAGGCA
rnacentral:rRNA from 1 species